AGCCAUAGCCAUAUCACCCUGCAGCCCAAGACUGGUUACUCACUGAAGCUAAGCAGGGCUGAGCCUGGUCAGUACCUGGAUGGGAGACCACAUGGGAAAGCUACCUUGCUGUUGGAA
rnacentral:rRNA from 1 species